rnacentral:rRNA from 1 species
AUUGAACGCUGGCGGCAGGCCUAACACAUGCAAGUCGAGCGGAUGAAGGGAGCUUGCUCCUGGAUUCAGCGGCGGACGGGUGAGUAAUGCCUAGGAAUCUGCCUGGUAGUGGGGGAUAACGUCCGGAAACGGGCGCUAAUACCGCAUACGUCCUGAGGGAGAAAGUGGGGGAUCUUCGGACCUCACGCUAUCAGAUGUGCCUAGGUCGGAUUAGCUAGUUGGUGGGGUAAAGGCCUACCAAGGCGACGAUCCGUAACUGGUCUGAGAGGAUGAUCAGUCACACUGGAACUGAGACACGGACCAGACUCCUGCGGGAGGCAGCAGUGGGGAAUAUUGGACAAUGGGCGAAAGCCUGAUCCAGCCAUGCCGCGUGUGUGAAGAAGGUCUUCGGAUUGUAAAGCACUUUAAGUUGGGAGGAAGGGCAGUAAGUUAAUACCUUGCUGUUUUGACGUUACCAACAGAAUAAGCACCGGCUAACUUCGUG